UAGUCCAUGCCGUAAACGAUGAGUGCUAGGUGUUGGAGGGUUUCCGCCCUUCAGUGCCGGAGCUAACGCAUUAAGCACUCCGCCUGGGGAGUACGACCGCAAGGUUGAAACUCAAAGGAAUUGACGGGGGCCCGCACAAGCGGUGGAGCAUGUGGUUUAAUUCGAAGCUACGCGAAGAACCUUACCAGGUCUUGACAUCUUGCGCUAACCUUAGAGAUAAGGCGUUCCCUUCGGGGACGCAAUGACAGGUGGUGCAUGGUCGUCGUCAGCUCGUGUCGUGAGAUGUUGGGUUAAGUCCCGCAACGAGCGCAACCCUUGUUACUAGUUGCCAGCAUUAAGUUGGGCACUCUAGUGAGACUGCCGGUGACAAACCGGAGGAAGGUGGGGACGACGUCAGAUCAUCAUGCCCCUUAUGACCUGGGCUACACACGUGCUACAAUGGACGGUACAACGAGUCGCAAGCUCGCGAGAGUAAGCUAAUCUCUUAAAGCCGUUCUCAGUUCGGACUGUAGGCUGCAACUCGCCUACACGAAGUCGGAAUCGCUAGUAAUCGCGGAUCAGCAUGCCGCGGUGAAUACGUUCCCGGGCCUUGUACACACCGCCCGUCACACCAUGGGAGUUUGUAACGCCCAAAGUCGGUGGCCUAACCAUUAUGGAGGGAGCCGCCUAAGGCGGGACAGAUGACUGGGGUGAAGUCGUAACAAGGUAGCCGUAGGAGAACCUGCGGCUGGAUCACCUCCUUUCUAAGGAA
rnacentral:rRNA from 2 species